AUGUUUCAGUAUAAUUGCUACAGACCUGACAUGGAGUUUGAAGUACAACAAUUGCUUUGGCUUUUAGCUACUUUCACCUUGACAACACAAGAGUUGGUGAAACUCAAAAUGAAACCAAUUGUUAUCGCAGAAUGCGGCAAACAAGUUUCUCUGCACUGCAACACCUCAUCUCAGCAGGAGUUAUCGAUCAAAUAUAUGGAGUGGUCACAGGGCAAUGCGCUGUUAUGUUCUCUGGACAAUAAAGGAACAGUUACCAAAAACCUCAGCAACUCUGGGAGGGAUUUUUCCUGCAAGUAUACAAAUGGAAGCCUGUCGCUCAUCUUGGCCAAAGUGGUUCCUCUGGAGGUCAGACACUGGAAGCCAUACAGAUGCAAACAAUACUCCACCCAGGGAAUAUUGCAAGGAUAUACCAAAGUACAGCUACAAGAGUGCAAUGGCACCAUUGAAACUGUGCUGAAGACAGACGGCCCCGCCUGCACUUUCAACCAUGUUUACCCCGACGGAGAUGUGCACUGGUUUUCCAACUCCCGUAACCUCUCUGAUUGGUCUCCGCAUAACACAACUAAACGUGUGGAUGAACAGGGUUGGUUGACCAUUCAUAGCUACUUGGAAGAGAAACACCUGCAAGGGACGUACAACUGCUCCUUGAUGAGCACCGUUUCUGGGAGACUCAUUGCCAGUGCUCUGGUUCAUCAAGCUCCAUUGACAAAGACAGUCAAAUUGUUUGAAAAAACACCCAAUAACAGCCAUCGAAUCAGAUUACUGGGGCGUACUUGGAUGGUUUCAUUGAUUUUACUUUUCUUUAUUGUCAAAAGUUAGAUCAUAUUGUUUCAAAGAAAAUUCACAACAAAAACAUGAACCAGAUGUAUGGGGUGCCUAUUGUAAAGUUGUGCAUGUUAAAAUAAACAGCAACUUUUUGCAACA
rnacentral:lncRNA from 1 species